UACACCUAGAUGUUCAAGGCCUUACUU
rnacentral:piRNA from 1 species